GACGAACGCUGGCGGCGUGCUUAACACAUGCAAGUCGAACGGAAAGGCCCCUUUGGGGGUACUCGAGUGGCGAACGGGUGAGUAACACGUGAGUAACCUGCCCUUGACUUCGGGAUAACUUCAGGAAACUGGGGCUAAUACCGGAUAGGAAUCCUUGCUGCAUGGUGGGGGUUGGAAAGCUUCGGCGGUUUUGGAUGGACUCGCGGCUUAUCAGCUUGUUGGUGGGGUAGUGGCUUACCAAGGCUUUGACGGGUAGCCGGCCUGAGAGGGCGACCGGCCACAUUGGGACUGAGAUACGGCCCAGACUCCUACGGGAGGCAGAAGUGGGGAAUAUUGCACAAUGGGCGGAAGCCUGAUGCAGCAACGCCGCGAGCGGGAGGACGGCCUUCGGGUUGUAAACCGUUUUCAGCAGGGGCGAAGCUUGUGGUGACGGUACCUGCAGAAGAAGCACCGGCUAACUACGUG
rnacentral:rRNA from 1 species